AUUGAACGCUGGCGGCAGGCCUAACACAUGCAAGUCGAGCGGAGCGGCGGACGGGUGAGUAAUGUCUGGGAAUCUGCCUGGUAGUGGGGGAUAACGUCCGGACACGGGCGCUAAUACCGCAUACUAUCAGAUGAGCCUAGGUCGGAUUAGCUAGUUGGUGGGUAAAGGCCUACCAAGGCGACGAUCCGUAACUGGUCUGAGAGGAUGAACAGUCACACUGGAACGGAGAAACGGUCCAGACGCCUACGGGAGGGAGCAGUGGGUAAUAUUGGACAAUGGGCGAAAGCCUGAUCCAGCCAUGCCGCGUGGGUGAAGAAGGUCUUCGGAUUGUAAAGCACUUUAAGUUGGGAGGCGUUACCAACAGAAUAAGCACCGGCUAACUUCGUGCCAGCCGCCGCGGUAAUUC
rnacentral:rRNA from 1 species